GACGAACGCUGGCGGCGUGCCUAAUACAUGCAAGUUGAGCGCUGAAGGUUGGUACUUGUACCAACUGGAUGAGCAGCGAACGGGUGAGUAACGCGUGGGGAAUCUGCCUUUGAGCGGGGGACAACAUUUGGAAACGAAUGCUAAUACCGCAUAAAAACUUUAAACACAAGUUUUAAGUUUGAAAGAUGCAAUUGCAUCACUCAAAGAUGAUCCCGCGUUGUAUUAGCUAGUUGGUGAGGUAAAGGCUCACCAAGGCGAUGAUACAUAGCCGACCUGAGAGGGUGAUCGGCCACAUUGGGACUGAGACACGGCCCAAACUCCUACGGGAGGCAGCAGUAGGGAAUCUUCGGCAAUGGACGCAAGUCUGACCGAGCAACGCCGCGUGAGUGCAGAAGGUUUUCGGAUCGUAAAACUCUGUUGGUAGAGAAGAACGUUGGUGAGAGUGGAAAGCUCAUCAAGUGACGGUAACUACCCAGAAAGGGACGGCUAACUACGUG
rnacentral:rRNA from 1 species